rnacentral:tRNA from 1 species
GCCAGAGUAGCUCAGUGGUAGAGCAAAGGACUCAUAAGCCUUUGGUCCCCGGUUCAAUCCCGGGCUCUGGCACCA